rnacentral:rRNA from 1 species
UAGGGAAUCUUCCGCAAUGGGCGAAAGCUUGACGGAGCAACGCCGCGUGAGUGAUGAAGGUCUUCGGAUCGUAAAACUCUGUUAUUAGGGAAGAACAAAUGUGUAAGUAACUAUGCACGUCUUGACGGUACCUAAUCAGAAAGCCACGGCUAACUACGUGCCAGUAGCCGCGGUAAUACGUAGGUGGCAAGCGUUAUCCGGAAUUAUUGGGCGUAAAGCGCGCGUAGGCGGUUUUUUAAGUCUGAUGUGAAAGCCCACGGCUCAACCGUGGAGGGUCAUUGGAAACUGGAAAACUUGAGUGCAGAAGAGGAAAGUGGAAUUCCAUGUGUAGCGGUGAAAUGCGCAGAGAUAUGGAGGAACACCAGUGGCGAAGGCGACUUUCUGGUCUGUAACUGACGCUGAUGUGCGAAAGCGUGGGGAUCAAACAGG